GGGAACAAUAAUGUUAAUUACCCACAGAUUGUUUUUGCUCCAGGCUUUCAGCAUUAUGUCUAUACUGAAUAAAAGCAAGCAGCUCCAGCUGUUUGCCUGCUCACUCUUUGGCCGCUAGUGCCAAGCAGUCCCCUAGCUGCUCUUACACUGCAUAUCUGCGUCUGAGUACUCGUUUCAUCCAUCGUCCAGCCAGGGUCUGUGGGACAGACCCAGCAACUGGUGCCCUGUGUGAGGAAUGCUGCAACAGAUCACGAUGGAACCCCCAAAAAUGAGGUGAAGAGACUGUGCGGGAAGUAAGUAAUUGGUGCCCACUCAGGAUUUCCAAGUUUGAGGGAAUUUUCAACCUAGGGUUUCAUCAUGGGACAACAGUUAUCAGCUCAACAGCAACACUAUAUGAUGGUGAUGGGAAUCUUUGCAAAUUGUAUCUUCUGUUUGAAAGUGAAGUACUUACCUCGGCAGCAGAAGAAAAAGCUACAAACUGACAUUAAGGAAAAUGGCGGAAAGUUUUCCUUUUCAUUAAAUCCUCAGAUGGAGUCUCACUCUGUUGCCCAGGCUGGAGUGCAGUG
rnacentral:lncRNA from 1 species